UACGUAGGGUGCGAGCGUUGUCCGGAAUUAUUGGGCGUAAAGAGCUCGUAGGCGGCUUGUCACGUCGGAUGUGAAAGCUCGGGGCUUAACCCCGAGUUUGCAUUCGAUACGGGCUAGCUAGAGUGUGGUAGGGGAGAUCGGAAUUCCUGGUGUAGCGGUGAAAUGCGCAGAUAUCAGGAGGAACACCGGUGGCGAAGGCGGAUCUCUGGGCCAUUACUGACGCUGAGGAGCGAAAGCGUGGGGAGCGAACAGG
rnacentral:rRNA from 1 species